rnacentral:lncRNA from 1 species
ACAGAAAUUUGUAUAGAUUUUUCUUCUCAAACACCAAUAGUUAAAAUUAAUACUGUAUACUAUUUAGGUUUUUAAGAUAUUCAAAUUUUGUAUAGUAUAAAAGUGUAAUAAACAAAUGUUUUUGAUAACUUUAGAAGUAUGCAUUUUGUUCUCUCACUCAAUUUAUUUAUAAAAUUGAAGACUAAUUAAAAUUAAUAUACUCAAAUAGUAAAAUAUUUAAAGUGAUUUCAUAAGAAUGCAAAGAAUGUUGGACAGUAUUGCAAUUAACAUUUUACUCAUAUAUUUUUUUAUAGACAAAUUUAGUAAAUUGACAUUUACGGUAGCAUUUGUGUAUAUAUAUAGGCAAUACACCGAUAUAACACAUAUGGUCGAUGUUAACGAAAAAAAAAAUUACGUAAAAUGUUUAAAACUGCAUAGUGUCAGUGCUACGCAUUGGGUCCAGCUGAUCCACGCCUACAGUAGCACGCGCAGGCCACUAACCUCGUGCUGCGUAUCCACGUGACCCGCCACCGAAAGUCCUUGAAGUGAAGUGACGAACCGAUGUUCGUCGAACAUGCGUCAUACGCUUAUUAUGAUCAUACAAGAAAUACUAAUGUACCACGACAGUUUCAGACUAGUAUAAAUUCAACAUGACCAUUUUAUCGUAGUGGUCAAAGACUAAACUAGACAGGAAGUAUUAAGUUCAAUGUUCCUGCGUUGAUGCAUUAGUCGAUUCUGGUACGUGUGGCUGGUUGCAACUCCAUUUUGAGUUUUGCGGUGGUUGCGAUGGAUAUGUUCAAAAGGAUGAUGUUUACGUCAGGUAAGGCGACCCGAAAUGUUGUGUAAUGGAACUUGGGUGUACUUAUAGUUAUAAAACAACUCUUAGACGUUUAGCUGCAUAGGUUUAUACGCUAGAUUUCGUGUAAGUGUAUAGCAGGUAGGGGGAUGACUCGUCGGCCAAUCGGAAGGCAAAUAUCGUGACGUACGCCAUCUUCGUCUCACACACUGUCGCAAUUACAUGUUUUCCUGAAUCUUUAACAUUUAAUCGGUUACAUAUUAUAAGAUACAACACAGCAUUAUUGAGUCGGAUAUAGUUUUAGCAUUGUUGUUUGUUACGUCAUAGCACCACAGAUCUUAUAACCAUUUUUAUCCAGCAUGUGUUGUGCCUCAUGCAUAAACAUGAAGUGUUGCAGUACAAAUUUGUAUAUACAGCUUGAAUAAGCUUGAUGAUGAUAUGUAGAAAUUUCUGUACAUUCGAAAAUUUAACCGACAAUAAGAUGUCGUCUUAGUUUUUAGCUGUUAUAUAAGAAAGCAUCUAAUCAAUAUUUAGAUGUAUGCA